rnacentral:rRNA from 1 species
GGCGAGUGGCGAACGGGUGACUAAUACAUCGGAACAUGUCCUGUACUGGGGGAUAGCCCGCCGAAAGACGGAUUAAUACCGCAUACGAUCUACGGAUGAAAGCGGGGGACCUUCGGGCCUCGCGCUAUAGGGUUGGCCGAUGGCUGAUUAGCUAGUUGGUGGGGUAAAGGCCCACCAAGGCGACGAUCAGUAGCUGGUCUGAGAGGACGACCAGCCACACUGGGACUGAGACACGGCCCAGACUCCUACGGGAGGCAUCAGUGGGGAAUUUUGGACAAUGGGCGAAAGCCUGAGCCAGCAAUGCCGCGUGUGUGAAGAAGGCCUUCGGGUUGUAAAGCACUUUUGUCCGGAAAGAAAUCCUUGGUUCUAAUAAAGCCGAGGGAUGACGGUACCGGAAGAAUAAGCACCGGCUAACUACGUGC